GCUUUUGCCUGAACUGUGGUGGUUUUGCCUUGCAGAAACUUUUCAGUUACAUGAGGCUCAAUUUAUUGAUUUUUGAUCUUGUGCCUGUGCUAUCAGCAUGUUGCUCAAAAAAUUGCUUCGUGUGCCAGGUUAGGAGAGACAAAAAUGGAAGAUUUUAAAAUUUGCUCUGUGAUACAAGGCAAUUCCACUGAAUAACUGCCUCCCAAGUGCUGGAAUUACAGUGUUCAGGGACUCGAGAAGAUAGCAUUCAAUUCUCUGGGGAUGGAGUUACAGGCAAUUGUGAGCAGGUAUGUGGAUGCUGGGAAUCAAGCUCAUGUCUUCUGGAACAGUAGCCAGCACCCUUUUAGCCAACUCCCUAGAAUCGAUUUUGUGGUUAUUUUUAACAUGAGGCAAUAUUUUUUAUAUAAACUGUGUAGUGACCCGCUUCAUUAGCAAUGGCUAGUAUAGGACUUCGUAAGACAUAAACACCUUCUGUCUUUAGAUAAUUCCAAUUUGGGUAAGUGGCUGAAGACUGGAGGCUUCAGAUGGGUUGAACAGCAUAGGGUUGCUGCAGACUGAUCUUGGCUCAUUUAUAGCUAUGCAACGUUGAAAAACAGUUUAGCUUUCUGAAGCUCAUUUUUCCUCAGUAAUAUAGCAAGAUCAUUAUGCCUGACAAUAUUUUUCUCUGAACAGUCGCUGUAAUAAAGUACCACGAUCUGACUGGUUAAUAGCGGCUGUGCUUUACUUUCUCACUGUUCUAGACACUUGAAGUCCAACAUUAAGUUGCUGGCAAAACCUUGACCCUUGUGAAGUCUACAGCUUUGCCUUUUUUUGGUGGUAGGGGGGCACGGGGACAGGGGAUGUUAGCUUUUCGUACUCAUAAACUUGCAAUUAAGUCCAACCUCUGCCUUUGUUUUCACAAAGCACUCUAUUUACAGACCCAGUGCUUACAAUGGCUCCAGCCUUAUUAGACAGAGGCACAACCUGCUCAGUAUGCUUUUAUGUUUACAUCACUAGACACAUCUGCAAUGAUCUCAGAUCCAAAUAACAUAAUCAUGUCAUGAAGUACAAAACACUAGUUAGAGUAUAGAUACACACACACACACACACACACACACACUGAAGUAGCGAGAGGAGAAAGAGAGAUUCCUUCUAUACCAUGAAAAACCUUUGUGUGGAGAACCAAUUCAUCUGAGGGAAAGGGUUGGCACUUGGCUAUCAGUGGGUCCCAGCAGCAGCAGCUCUGAUACAGGACAUGGCUUGAGUGAUGGAUGUCUAUAGAAGGAUCGUUCAUUUUAAUUGUAACUUUUUUGCUUUUGGCUAUGCUUACCUCCUACCAGAUUUCCAAUUCCCUUAACAUUUAAGAUUGCCAAAUCAGGCCAUCUGUAAACAUGAAAAGUUGCAAAACUGGGGUCUUUCACCGAAGUGCUAGUUUUAAUAUUCUGAACAGGAAAAAAAAAGACACUAAUUCUCUGUUCCUGAAAGCAUCAUAGUUUGUAAUGAGUAUAUACUGUCUUUCUCCCUUUGUAGUUCUGGGGUUUGGUGAUACAGGUGAAUUUUUGAUGACAUCUUUUUUUUUUCUCUCCUUCUGUUUUUUUUUCCUGUUGAGCGUUUGCCUUGGCAACCAUUGUGUAGAAGCCAAGCAGAGCCUUGCCUGAGCCAGAAAGGUUAAAACUGAGCCGACAGGACAACCCCAGCUCUCUGCUGUUGCACUGCUCUGAGACAGAAUGUUGUACAUGGUGCUGUUGUCUCAAAAGGACUGAUUCCAUAGCCAAGGGGGAAAGAUGCCAGCAGAGUAUGGAACACCUGUUGAGGAUACCCAGAGAAGCAGGGAAAGAAGAAACUUGGGGAUCCUUCAAAAACUAUUGUGGAUAAAGAGAGAAGUUGCCCCCACUCCUUGUUCUUUUUUUUUCUUUCUUUUCUUUCUGAGCGUUCGGUGUCACUGAUAUUGUAGUACUUCCAGAUGUGUAUUGGAUACAUAAAUGACACAGAUGUUGAAACAGAACAACUACCUGUCUAGCACAAAGCAUGGUAUAGACUGGCAGCUAAUUUACAUAUAAGGUAUCUCCAACCAUGAACUAAUCGAAGGUAGUCAGAAACUUGUGGACAUCUGGGUAUAACAAAAACACAUCACAAGAACCAGGCCCAUGAACUUUUGUAUGCAUAAGGCCAAGGCUGUCCUUACCUGGAAGGAAGAACACUUUGUAUGCUGACACCUGCUCAUCAGCACUCAUCUAGUGCACACCUCUGCUGAUCAACAAGCUCCUAGCUCCUGAUUCCAUUUCAACAUGAUUUCUGCUGAAUCAUCACUCAUCUGUCGCCAUUGACUCUGCUGAUCCUAUCUUCUUGCCUUGCCUUGCCUUGCCAUGCCUGCUAUGCUUUGCCUUGAACCUGAUUUCCAUCUUCCAACAACUUGGGACUAGCUUGAUAAU